AUGGAAUGCAUGUGGGGAGAUCUCGGCCUCCUCGAAGACCCACGGGCUGGAGCUAAAAAAAGUACAAAAGAGAGAGAAAAAAGGUCAACUAGAGUAAACUACAAAAGGUAAGCGACUAAGAGGCCAAAACAAAGAAACUCACCGGUUAAGGAGGGAGCAGGCCCAAACUUCUUGAAAAAGCCCGGCCACUCACGAAUUCCCGUGAUGUGAGGGAGGAGUCGGCCGACCCAAUCAGAAAUAUCCCCGACCAAAUGAUAGGGCGUAGUCUUGGCUGCAUAAGAAAGGAGAAAGAGAUCAGAACCCACGACUAAGCGAAGUAAAUCAAAUGCCUCACCGAAGAGAAGUUAGACGCUUACGAGUAUAAUUCCAAGUUUCAGGGAAGCCAUCUGCGUUGGCCACCACGUCCUUGGUUCUAACGAAGAAAACAUUGUGCUAGAACUAACGGUUAGCCUUAUCAUCCAUCUUCACCACCAGGCACUUGCCCCCUCGGUGGCGAAGGUUUAACAUCGCCCCCUAUAGAAACUAGGGGCGAAGAGAUGUAUCAAAUGACCGAAGUGUGAUCUCAACCCUAGCCAAUUCCGAAAACUUAGUCAACAUCCUUAUGAGCUUAUGGAUAUACGGUGCGAGUUGAGCCGGGCAAACGCCAUAGAAACGGCAAAACUCUUCGGCCAGUAGAAAAAGGGAAAGAGUGUAGCCGACAUGAAAGGGGUAAGCGUAGAACGCAUAGUACCCGGGGCGGUGGACUUGUACCAUAUCCCGCCCGGCAGGGACCAACUCGAUGCGCGCGGGAAUGCUGAAUUUUGCCCUUAGCUCUUAUAAAUAGGCCUCCUUCAUCGCCGACUCGGAGAUUUCGAGAUCAACUUCAAGCGACUUUGUAAAAUCAGACCUGACUUUCUCACUACGAGGAACUAUCUCCUCCACCAUAGCAAAGUUCUCGUCCUCAACGACAAUGGAGACGCCAUUCGCGUGAGAAGGGAAAGCCAUUCUCGUAUUCAUUUAGACUUAUUAUGCGCCGCUACCACAUUCACUUCAAGAACUGAGCAAAUCAAGUGGGGCAAUAUUCAUGCCUUUUUCAUGAAAAAUAUAUUAUUUUUCUUUAGUUAUCAUUAUAUCAUCAAUAUUGUGUAGUGGGACUCAAACCCAAUAUCUUACCAAUAUAAAGGCAUGUUAGGCCAUAAUGAAUUAGGACUCAAACCCAACUCUUAUCAUCAUGGAGCAUCAAGACUUGAUCCUGAUGUCUUACCCUCAUGGUGCAUAGCGACUUGAACUCAUUGAAGUUGAUAUCAUUAAUAGCAAAGGAUAAAAAUAAUUUCAAAUACGAAGAAAAUGCUUACCUCUUGAGUUAAACUCUUCAUAAUAUCAUUUGGAUAUAAUUCUCAACAAUAGACUUUCGUUUACUCAAAUCAGCUAAGUAAUUAGUGUCAAACAGAUAUAUGAAAAUACAAAAUAAUAUUAAAAAUUCACAUGUGGUCUUUGCUGUAAUAAGCUUACUUCAAGAUGAAAGUAAUAUGACCAGAACAUUAAAGAAAAAUGAUGUAUCAAAUAGAAUAAUAUAAUACUACUAGUUACCAUGCACUUUUAUGAAAACUAAGUAUUAUGCUCUAGAAAAAUAAGAGAUAUAGCAGAACCUUUAGGUUAAUCAGAAAAUAAAAAAAAAUUAGGGGACAAAUCUCUGUCUACUAUCUACUACUAUUAUGCUUUCCAUAUAGAAAUAGAUUCAACAUGUUAAUUUGAUAAGAACUAUCAUCAAUGAAAAAUUUGGUGUAGUACAUANNNNNNNNNNNNNNNNNNNNNNNNNAAAGUAUAAUUUUUAUUUUGUAGAAUUAUUUAAGUAUACCGCAUGUCACCUAUUAUUUAGUUCAUGAAAAUUUAAUAAGGUGGCAUCCUUAGCAGCCACAUAAAUACUAAUUUUUUAAUAACCAGACCAUUGCUUAUUCCAAAAUAUUGGUAUAAACUUAUAUGGUUUAAAGCUCGAACUUGUUGCUGUAGCAGAAAGACGUGCAUGUAACACAGAAGUGGAGUUCAACCUUGAGGUUAGAGACUUCGUGCUCAUAAUUGUGUGAUGAAAUAUAGCUCAAAGUAACAAUAUAGAACAAGAAAAAUCAAGCUAAGAGAUAUCGAGAGAUGAUAGAUUUUUAUUUCUUCUUCAAUUGUAUGUAUUUUUCUAUCUAUUACAAAGCCUUUAUAUAGACAUGAAAAGUGAAGAAAAAUAUGUCAUUGAAUAUAUUAUUAAACAUUUGAGAAGAUAAUGGAGAAAGAGUAGACAUCCACCAUAAUUUAAUUUUUCUUAUAACAAAUAAGUGUUUAUAUGGGAGUAAUGAUUUCUAAGUAUAAUUUGUUCUAUGAACCACCCAACUUUCUAGUUCUAAAGAUAUUUCCAUCAUCUUGACUACAAAAACGAAAGCAAAGACGUAAGCUGGCUGCUGAGGCGAAAUAAUAUAUGUUUAACUUGACAAUGAACUUUGAAUUAAUCUAAUUGAUUAAUAGGUUAUUCGUUUUCUGUCUGCCCAAAUGGCGUCACUGCAAAGAUCAGCUUCUUUAGUUUUUGUAAUAAUACUCAAUAGUCAUACCUCCAAACAAGGCUUAAACAUUGUCUUGAAGUUAUGAAUGGGAAGUUGUAUAAUUAGGGAGUGGUGUUAGUUGGGGAAGAAAACUAGCAAAAUGGGUGGUUGUGCGGCGUCAAAAAGCAGUUUAUGACAGAGAUGAAACUAGUAAUUUCAGAAACAUUAUUUAAGAUUUAAUAUAUAUAUAUAUAUGAAAAUAACAAUUGACCUAUAAAUAUAGUACUCCAUCCGUUUCAAUUUAUGUGAACCUAUUUCUUUUUUGGUCCGUUUAAAAAGGAAUGACCCAUUUCUAAAUUUGGAAAUAAUUUAGCUUAAACUUACAAUUCUACCCUUAAUGAGAAGCUUUUAUAACCACACAAAUACUUUGGGUCCCUUUUUGACUUGUUUAAGACCACAAAUUCUAAAAGUAUUUUUUUAUUUAUACUCCGUACCCAAUCAAACAAAUUCACAUCAAUUAAAACGGAAGGAAUACAAUUUUUCGAUAAAAGUGUUCAACUUAAACCACCCUUCAAUAGGGCUGUGCAUAAUUUGGUAAAUACCGAAUUACCGUACCGAAAUCGAAAAUUUUCGUAUUCGGUAUUCGGUAUGGUAUUUGGUUUAAGUUUUUAAAAAGAAUUGGUAUUAGGUAUGGUAUUUGGUAUUUUAAAAUGAAAUAUCGAAAUACCGAUAUCGUAUCGAAAUAUAUAUAUUAUAUUACACAAUACACAUUUUAUUAAUUAUAACAUAAGUAUAAGAAAUCUAAAAUUUUACUUUCCUUUAUUCUUUAAGUUCAUCAAUUAAUUCUAAGCAAUCAACACGACAUUUCUCUAAGGUUUCUCUCUUUAGGUUGGUAUAUGCUAGUUUUGGACAAAACUUAUGUCAACAAAUAUUUUAAGGUUCGUACUUUUGAGUACUUUAAUUAAGAAUAUUGCUGUCUAUGACUCUAUACACUAGUUAGUAUUCAAAUCGAAUAAAUCGAAGUUACCAAACCGAAUAAACCUAAACCGAAAGGAAAAAAAUCGAACUAUAUCGAAUUUAAUUAGGUACGGUAUUGAUAUAGUAUUUUACGAAACCAAAUAUCAAAAAUACUGAAUCGAAAUAUUUAAAUACCGUACCGGACCGACCGACGAACACCCCUACCCUUCAACGAGUUUAGCUCCGGCCUCCGCCCCUAUGACACACUAACUUUAACGCGUCGUGCAUACCUUAAGUUGGCUAGCUAUAAGGAAUAUAAUAAAGAUUGUCGCGCCCGAGAAAGGAUGUGGCACGAGUUGAUACAACCAGAAGGGCCAAAAAUAUUAAGCUGAGGGCUAACGCAUCAAGCAGAAAAGGAAUUAUACCACCCCGUGGUAAGUUCUGAGCAUUGGGAAUAAACCAUACAAAAAUAAUAUUCACCGUAAUAAAAUCAGAAUAAUAAUAUAGUAUCGAGAUACGAUAAUUAACAAAAAUAAAAGAGUGAUAACAAUACCAAAAUUUUUAUGUGGAAAACUCUUUUGAAUAAGAGAAAAAACCACGACCCUAAGAUAAACAACUGAUAUCACUAUAGUAAGUAAUUUUACACUUUGUAUGUCCGAAUAAAAUACUCCAAAGACCACUACAAUACUCAAAAAAAAUAACUCUCUUUUGAUAUUCUCACAUCACUACAAUAUCGUUCACUCUUUAUUUUUCUCACAGAUAUUUUCUUAUACACUGUUUGUGAAACCUUACUCUUUCUUUUUAACUGUCAAAUAUAUUUUUCCUAUGAGAUAUAUAUAAAUUGAGAUUGAUAUAUAGAGUGGACUUUGAUGACGGACCCAAUUAACCAAGAGAUUGAAUCUCACUUUACAAAUUGCACAUUAUGAAUCGGUUGCCCACACUUGCUCUUGCCAUCGUUAGAUUUCUUUUUCUUUCUUUUUUUCUAUUAAUUAAUGGGUGUGGACCCCAUCAAAUAACUGUGCAAACUUGUAUGGGCCAAAUUGAGAUUCUAUAUGUUUUAAUCCCAUAGUUAUAAAAGCUAGACAGUAAUUCAUCUUAUGUUUGUCUCAACACCAAAGAGCCAAGAAAUCUUUGUGGAGGAGAAUUAAAGCCAACCCAAGGUUCUAUUACAUAUAUUGGUCAAAAUUUCUUUUCCUUGGGCAUGGACAUGCACUAUCACUUUUAAGAAUGUCCCAGAUGCAAAAAUGUGAAGAUUUCAAUUGCCACAGGGGCAGAGAUUAAUGAGCAAUACAAUAUACACAUACUCCAGGAAUACUGUAAAAUAAUUUUCUUUAAAUGAAAUGAAAAAUGAUACAUGCAGAAAUUGUUGGGAAUAAACCCCCUACUGAAAUAAUAUUCACAGUAAUAAAAGCGGAAUAAUAACGUAGCACCGAGAUACGGUAAUUAACAAGAAUAAAAGAGUGACAACGACACCAAGAUUUUAACGUGAAAAACCCUUUUGAAUAGGGAAAAAACCACGGCCCCGAGACGAGCAACGAUAUCACUAUAGAAAGGAAUUUUACACUUUGUAGGUCCGAGUAAAAUACUUCAAAGACUACUACAACACUCAAAAGAAAUAAUACUCUUUUGAUAUACCCACCUCACUACAAUAUCGCUCACUCUCUAUUUUUCUCACAGACUAUUUUCUUAUACCUUGUGUGUGAAACCUCACUCUUUCUUCCUCUCUUUGUUGGUGUGUAGAAAUGGGAGUUGAAACUCUCCUUUUAUAGCCAAAACCUCACUCUCUAAAGCCUACUAUAUUUGACAAUUUGAACACACUUUUCCUUUUAUUUCUUCAAUGUUGACAAUUCAACAAAAUUGGCUACCAACCCAAAAAAAUUCAAUAAAGUUGGCUACCAAACCAAAAAAAUUUAACAAAGUUGGCUACCAAACCAAAAUAAUUUAAUAAAGUCGGCUACCAAACCAAAAAAAUUUUCCUUAGUCACAUGCCUAUUACUUUGACUAUUGAAUGAGAUAGAACCCAUCAGACAUACACGAGGACAAGAUACUCCUAGUCAAUCACCUACCUUUUUUUUUUUGAUUAUGGAAAAUUCACAACUAGGUUCGAUGAAUCUAAUUCCUUGAUUCAAAUUGGUCAUCUUCGUCUAAUUAUUUUAACAUCCGGAUGCAAUUAUGGAGGGGACUUGUCGGCCUCCAACCUAAGUAAUGAAAAACAAAAUUAUUGGAGAUUGAAAUAUUCACAUGAAAAAGAAACAUGUAUCUUGCAGAUUUUGAUUCUUUUACCACAGUUAAAUUAUUUGCAUGUAUUCUCGCUUUAAUUUAAAUGUAAAUACGGGUGCUAGUAAAAAGAUUUCGUCAAUAAGCCCGUCUAACUCAAGUUUGACAUUUAUAAUAGUGGCAUUUUGAUUUCACUGUUAUUUAAUUUUUAUAAUGUGUUCAGCGGAUAAUGAAAAACUCAAUCUAGUACUAGUGGAUAAUAUUUUAUUUAGAGGUAUUAAACCCAUAAAAUAUCCUAUAUUGAACUCUGCACGUUAUUUCCACGAUACCUCCAUAGAAUAUGUAUUUCUAGUUGACCAAUUUGAAGCCAAGAUUUGUCGUUGGUUAGGUUUUUGAUCAUAUAAAAUCCCCCUUGAAGUUGAAGGCUUCUUAGUUAGUAUCAAAACAAAAUGGCAAGUUUAGUAGGAGGGGGAGACAGAUACAUAGUAGGAGGGGGAGACAGAUACAGAGACUACUUGAGUGAAGAAGAGGUGAAAAACACAAAAUGGAGAAAUGGUCCUCCUACCUAUGAUGUUGUUGAUAAGCUCUUUGAAGAAGAAAGAACUCAUGUAUGUUCUCUUUUUCAACCCCCCCACUUUUUAAUACAUCUUAGAAACUCUUUUGAUUGAUUCUAAGAAUGUCUCGAUAUUUAAGAUGAUAUAACUAGUAAAUAUGUUCUUCCUCGUGUACUUUACAUUUACUAUUGUACAAGUAGCUACUGAAUUUGUUAUGAACUUUGUCAUCUGACGUUUAUGUAAUAGUGUGAUUGAUACAUGUGUUACUUAUUUAUUUUCGUUUUUUUUUUCAGUAAAGAGUGAAAUACCAUGUUUAAAGAAAAUAAAAUCAUUCAUUAGUACCCAAAUUUAGAAGUUUAACAUUAUAAUAGAAACUGGAUUUAUUUACCUCUUAACUUGUUAGGUAUGGCCUGAAGGAUCACUUGAAGAGAAAGUGCAGAGGCUGU
rnacentral:lncRNA from 1 species